rnacentral:tRNA from 1 species
GGAGAGGUGUCCGAGUGGCUUAAGGAGCACGCCUGGAAAGUGUGUAUAGGUUAAUAGCCUAUCGAGGGUUCGAAUCCCUCUCUCUCCGCCA